UACGUAAGGUGCAAGCGUUGUCCGGAAUUAUUGGGCGUAAAGAGCUCGUAGGCGGUCUGUCACGUCGGCUGUGAAAAACCCGAGGCUCAACCUCGGGCCUGCAGUCGAUACGGGCAAACUAGAGUACUGCAGGGGAGACUGGAAUUCCUGGUGUAGCGGUGAAAUGCGCAGAUAUCAGGAGGAACACCGGUGGCGAAGGCGGGUCUCUGGGCAGUAACUGACGCUGAGGAGCGAAAGCGUGGGGAGCGAACAGG
rnacentral:rRNA from 1 species